AUGAACGCUAGCGACAGGCCUAACACAUGCAAGUCAGGGGCAGCACAAGGAGCAAUCUGAGGUGGCGACCGGCGCACGGGUGAGUAACACGUAUGCAACCUGCCUGUAAGCGGGGAAUAACCCGUUGAAAGACGGACUAAUACCGCAUAAUACUAAAUUACUGCAUGGUAAUUUAUUUAAACAUUUAUGGCUUACAGAUGGGCAUGCGCAUGAUUAGCUAGUUUGGAGAGGUAACGGCUCCCCAAGGCAACGAUCAUUAGGGGUUCUGAGAGGAAGGUCCCCCACACUGGUACUGAGACACGGACCAGACUCCUACGGGAGGCAGCAGUGAGGAAUAUUGGUCAAUGGACGAGAGUCUGAACCAGCCAAGUCGCGUGCAGGAAGAAUGUCCUAUUGGAUUGUAAACUGCUUUUGCAGGGGAAUAAAGUGCAUCACGUGUGAUGUUUUGUAUGUACUCUGCGAAUAAGGAUCGGCUAACUCCGUGCCAGCAGCUGC
rnacentral:rRNA from 1 species